CUUCCACCAUGAUUUAAGCUCCCUUAAGGCCAGCAAUGUGAGCACAGACAAGUCCUUGUUUAAGAAAGGCUGUUUCUGCAAAGGGAUCCCCAACACAGAAGGAGUCAGGAAACCAAAGAAUGAGACAGACAAAUACAGUUUGUCAGUAAAAGGUAAUUUAUUGGGGGGAAUUUGUGGACAGAAACAUGGUCUUGAGUGGUGGCAAGACAGGUAGUUCUCCAGGCUGUUACCCCCAAGAUUUCGGGCUUACUUAGUACAGGAAAAGGGUAAAUAUGCACUAUAGGAAUGUGCAGGACAUUUAAGGUCAGCCUUCCAGAAAGAGAAUGAGGUGCACAUCGUAGCCUAUAGUUUGUGUGAUGACAUAUAGGUUGCCUUGACUUAAGGAGAAGAUUUACAGUAAGUAUGUACUCUUACACAAGAAAUAGUAGAUCAAGUAGAAAUCUUACAGGCAUUCCCAGAACUGGGGUUAAUUCAAAGUCAACAUGGUGGAUUCACAUCCAAGAUGGAGCUGCUUUAGCUUCCACUGAGCUCCCUCCCCAGACCCAUGGAGCCCUUAGGGUUUACAGGACCAGCGUAGAAAUUCUCAUCCAGGCAGUUUGAUCCUUUUGGUUCUCAAAAGGCAAUUGAAUGUACACAUCUGCUUAUUACUCUCAAAUAAUUUCUUCUUUCACCUUAUUAUUUCUCAAAUCUUUCCUUCUUUUCCCUCUCCAUAGAAAAAGUUCCAGAAAAUUUAAAAAUCUUUUCAGAGAAGACAGUACACUGAGCAGGAUUUGCACAUCAAGAAAAAGUAGAGACAGGAGAUGGGAGUCAAGUGUUUGGAGGGGGGGUAGAGAAAACAUUAGGCUGGAAGGGGUACUGGGCCAGGUGUGGGAGUGUACAGAUCUGUGUGUGUGUGUGUGUUUGUGUGUGUGUGUGUUUGGUGUGUAACAUUCUCACUGAAGAUUUACUUGAAAAACUCCAGCUCUGUCUAGCCUGGAUUAACAGAAUGAUGUUUGGGGCAGGUUGGGGGCUUGGGGGCAGGAGACCCCGGAAUGGGAUGUGGUGUUGGCAGCUGGGCUCUUGGGCAGGUGAGAUAAGCUGCAGAAGGAGCAGGGCUCUGGUUCCCAUGCUCGUCCGUCCUGCUGGCAUGGAGCGUCCUCCAGGCUGUGGGGUGGGUGUGGUAGGUGGGGCUUCCUUCCUUCCCCAGACUAGCCCAGCAAUUCCCCAGGAAGCCAGGCCUCUGCCACUGCUUCUUUCUGCACCUCUACAGGGAGAGUCACCCUGUCUGCACCAAGGAUGGGGACAGCAGAGGAAUCUCACAGGCCAGAUCUCAGAACCUUCCCUGGAAAUGAGGAAGUGGCAUGUCACCGCCCAGUACCUUAGGAAGACCCUGCCCUGUCAGUCAGAGAUGGCAUCUUGGGUGGCCACUCCCUGAGUGGAGGAAGAGAGGGUUCUGUGCAGGGAGCUUCCUUGGUGGAUCAUGGGGAUGAUGGUGACAGCCAUGCUGAAACCCACAUGAAACCGAGUCCUCAGGAGGCCCUGUGAGGAUGGUGUGGUUCCCAUCACACUUCUCUGACAAGAGGGAAUUAUGAUGUUCAGACUCAGGAGAAAUAUGGGGUUUGUUUCAACUCCAUGGAGCAUCACAGUCCUUUUGAGAGGUGAGAGCCUAGCAGAUUGACCUAGCGAAUUGACAGAGAGUGGGCAGAGGCUCUGUCUUGUGGUCAGUUUCAGACAGCCUGUGGCCACGGCUCCCUGGUCAGCAGCAGGCCCUGUUGAAUGGGAGCCCUGGGCAGGCACUGGGAGGGAGGCCUGCGGUGUGGCUCUUACAACCUCACAGCUGCUGCUCUAUCCUAUAGCUACAAUCUGUCCUGCUUCUGAGCCCCAUCCCUGUAGGCCAGCCAUGACCUCAAGGACAAGAAGACCAGGCCAUGAAGAAUCUCGGGCCCACUGAGUGCCCAGGUGGCAGGGACAAAGUGCCUCAGGGCUCAGUGAAGUUUGGGCUGAGCGUGUGCUCUGGGAGUCAGACAGCUGCACAGGGCUCCCAGCUCCACCAUGACGUGACCAGUCCUGUGACUGGAGGAGGGGACUCACUGCUGUGGUACUUGAGCAUCAUUGUCAUAAACUUAAUGUGUCUGUCCAAUCCUUUUGUCUUUUUAUCUCUCUUCCUCUAUAAUCACCAUAUACUACUGAUCUCUGUUAGUGAUUGUGUUCAAAUGAAUAAACAUAUGUUACAUAGGGUGUAUUAUACUUCCUCAUUAUUUCUUCACUAUACUGUAUGACUCCACUCAUACGAGGUACUUGGAGUAGUUAAGUUUAUAGAAACACAAAGUAGAAGAGUGGUUCCUGGGGCUACAGGAAGGUAGGUGAGGUGUUUAAUGGGUACAGAGUUUUAGUUUUGCAAGAUGAAAAACACCCACUAUAAAUGUGGAGGAUGCUCAUAAAACCAUGUGAAUGUGCUUAAUUCCUUUGACCUGCACUCUUAAAAAUUGUUAAAAUGAAAAAAAAAUAUUCUUGGCCAGGCACAGUAGCUCAAGCCUGUAAUCCCAACACUUAGGGAGGCGGAGGUGGACGGAUUACCUGAGGUCAGGAGUUCAAGACCAGCCUGGCCAACGUGGUGAAGCCCCGUCUCUAGUAAAGAUACAAAAAUUAGCCAGAUGUGGCGGUGCAUGCCUCUAAUCCCAGCUACUUGGGAGGCUGAGGCAGAAGAAUUGCUUGAACCCAGGAGGUGGAGGUUGCAGUGAACCAACAUUGUACCACCGCACUCCAGCCUGAGAAACAGAGCAAGACGCUGUCUCAAAAAAAGAAACAAAAAUCCCAGCAACAACAAAUAUACCAGACUAUAGCUAUCUGCAACAGCAUGAAUGAAUACCACAAAUAUAAUGUAUAAAAGUAAGUAGAUGUAAAAGUAUACAUACUAUAUAAUUUUAUUUAUACAAAAUUCAAUAAGCAGACAAAACUGAGGUCCUGGUUUUCAGUAAUACUGGAGUAGCUUGUUCAAUUAACACAGAUUAUAAUGAUGACACCUGAAUAAUAUAUUUUAUAUAUAUACAUAUUUUUAAUGGAGUCUCACUCUGUCACACAGGCAGGAGUGCAGUGGUGCAAUCUCAGCUCACUGCAAUCUCCACCUCCUGGGUUCAAGCAAGUCUCCUGCCUCAGCCUCCCAAGUAGCUGGGACUACAGGCGCAUGCCAUCAUGCCCAGCUAAUUUUUGUAAUUUUAGUAGAGAUGGGAUUUCACCAUGUAGGCCAGUCUGGUCUUGAACUCCUGACCUCAUGAUCUGCCCACCUCGGCCCCCCAAAGCACUGGGAUUACAGGCAUAAGCCACUGCACUCAGCCUAUAUUAUAUAUUAUCAUAGAAAUCCAUCUGUAUAAUACAAAUACGACCUAUGUGUGAAUAAGAACUCAAUGAGGAUUUCAGCUGUGCCCACUGUAAGGGAGAUAGGUAUUGAAGUUUGAAUCCAGCCCAAUUAAAACCAUUUGUAAACAGUAACAUCGCUCUUCAAAGCUAAUACAACAGAAUUGAGAGUCUCUAUAAUGAUUCUUUACAGUAUACAACUUUAAAAUUCACUGAGACAUGUGAGGAAGCACGAAAAUGUAAUCCAUAUACAAUUUAAAAAGCAGGCAGUAGAUGUGAUCCUAAGAUAUUCAAGGUGUUAUAAUUCAGCACAUUUAAAGGCAGUUAUUAUAAAUCUGUUAAUGGGAGUAAAGGAAAAUGUUUUAAGAGAUGUGGAACCUAAGCAAAGAAAUGGAAAUUAUGAAACAAUAAGGAGAUAGGAAAUUUAAAAAAUACCUUUGAGCUUAUUCAAAGUUUAAAAACAGAAGACAGAGCAAUAGAAAUUGCCGGUUCUGAAUAAAAAAGUGAAAAAACUUAAAGAAAAUGAAGAGUCUUAGAGACCUGUUGAGUGAUUGAGUCCAAGUUGGAGGGGACAGAAAAAUGAGGUACAAAAAUAAAUCACCAACUAAUAGCUAAAAACUUCCAAAGAUUGGCCAAAUCCCGCAGUUUUUAUACCCAACAUGUCAACAAA
ensembl:lincRNA